GAGUUUGAUCUUGGCUCAGAUUGAACGCUGGCGGCAGGCCUAACACAUGCAAGUCGAGCGGAUGACGGGAGCUUGCACCUUGAUUCAGCGGCGGACGGGUGAGUAAUGCCUAGGAAUCUGCCUGGUAGUGGGGGGACAACGUUUCGAAAGGAACGCUAAUACCGCAUACGUCCUACGGGAGAAAGCAGGGGACCUUCGGGCCUUGCGCUAUCAGAUGAGCCUAGGUCGGAUUAGCUAGUUGGUGGGGUAAUGGCUCACCAAGGCGACGGUCCGUAACUGGUCUGAGAGGAUGAUCAGUCACACUGGAACUGAGACACGGUCCAGGCUCCUACGGGAGGCAGCAGGUGGGAAUAUUGGACAAGUGGGACGAAAGCCUGAUCCAGCCAUGCCGCGUGUGUGAAG
rnacentral:rRNA from 1 species